rnacentral:rRNA from 1 species
UACGUAGGUGGCAAGCGUUGUCCGGAUUUACUGGGCGUAAAGGGCGUGCAGGCGGUUUGUUAAGUGCAGGGUGAAAGCUCCCGGCUCAACUGGGAGAGGUCCUUGCAUACUGGCAAACUCGAGGGAGGCAGAGGAAAGUGGAAUUCCCGGUGUAGUGGUGAUAUGCGUAGAUAUCAGGAGGAACACCAGUGGCGAAGGCGGUGCUCUGGGCCGGUACUGACGCUGAAGCACGAAGGCCAGGGGAGCAAACGGG